ensembl:lncRNA
CUGCAACUGGGGAAGGGUCUGUGUCUGGAGAUUGCUCCUUGUGGAGUUUCUUGCAAGCCUAUAACACUGGGCUAAAUACCUGAAGAAAUCCCAGCUAAGCCAAUUUCCAAUAGAAGAAAGACGUCUACUGGAGUCUUCUGCAGCAAGGCUACCAUUCUUGAGUUCCCCUCUCAAAAGAAUCCAGCGGAAAAGGCAGGAAUUUCAUCAUCUCAGGCAAGCUGCCAGGAAAGAACAAGCUCCCCUCUACUGAAAAAAACACCAAGGACAGAGGAAGUUCAGUUGCUGGGAGACUGCAGCUUUGAGAGUUCCUGUGGAAAUAAACAGGAGAUAAUACUUUUGGAGCGACCAAUGUAGUAUAAUUCUUAUUUAAAAUAACUGCUCUUCAAUUGUUUCCAGCUAGAAACAUGCAAUGAUGAUCAAUGUGUUACUUCACCAAUCAUUUAAUAAACAUUCUCAACGUAAUCUUAAAUGAAUAAAUGACUACUGAAAUGGCUAGAGCAAAUGUCAUCAAUCAAUCUCAUAUACCCAAUAUGUAAGCUGUUUCAUUGGAGUGAAACAUAUGGUUGUAGUUUAAAAAGAAAAUCCUUUAUAAAACUUCUUACAAUGUUGCUUAAAUAGAAGCUAAUCUUUGACAUAAUCCAAUAUGAAGAGAGUGAGAGAGAUUUAUUUCCUUC